rnacentral:rRNA from 1 species
GACGAAGGGCGCGAGCGUUGUCCGGAUUUAUUGGGCGUAAAGAGCUCGUAGGCGGCUUGUUGCGUCAGCUGUGAAAACCCGCAGCUCAACUGUGGGCUUGCAGCUGAUACGGGCAGGCUUGAGUUCGGUAGGGGAGACUGGAAUUCCUGGUGUAGCGGUGAAAUGCGCAGAUAUCAGGAGGAACACCGGUGGCGAAGGCGGCAUCCUGGACCGGCAUUGACGCUGAGGCGCGAAAGCUAGGGGAGCAAACGGG